GUCAUCUGCCAGCAGUUCUUCAAUGACAAGCCAGUGAGCUCAAGUGGAAGAUGGAUGGGUGAUUUCGCUUUUCAGGCCCCAAAGCAAAGUAGACUUGGCAAGGAGAAUGGACUAUUUGUGAAGAAAAGCCUAAAGAUGACUUGAAUCUGAUGCUUCCCUGCCGUUAUGUCCAGAAUCCUGCAAUAUGUCUUCUGAAGGUCUCUGCUGAAAAUUUCAAUGCCUCCUGUAAAGAGAAAGAAGGGAAAGAAGAGAACAGGGAAUACAUAUUGGUGUCAAGGAAACAACUACGGAAUGGAAUCUGAUUGGCUGUGUCACUGCAUUAACAGCCAGAGUUUUACAUGGCAGACCUGCAUGGUUGUGAGACCUACCAAGAAGCAAAUUCUUGACAAUUUAGGAAUUUUAUGUGCAGCUUGAAGAAUGAAAAACAAGUUUAGCAUUUAGGGGGUUUUAAUGUCUUAAGGAAUUGACCUCUUCACCAAGAGUCUUGUUUGGAAUGAUGAAAUAGCUCCUAGUUACACAGAAAAAAAAUAGUUUACGAUUAAAAUUUU